rnacentral:miRNA from 15 species
GAGGCAGUCUGGUGAUGCUGUUGACAGAAGAUAGAGAGCACAGAUGGUGACUUGCAAGCUCUUCUGCAUCUCACUCCUUUGUGCUCUCUGUUCUUCUGGCAUCACCUUCCGCCCCUCG